CUCCCCGAAAGCUAUUUAGGUAGCGCCUCGUGAAUUCAUCUCCGGGGGUAGAGCACUGUUUCGGCUAGGGGGCCAUCCCGGCUUACCAACCCGAUGCAAACUGCGAAUACCGGAGAAUGUUAUCACGGGAGACACACGGCGGGUGCUAACGUCCGUCGUGAAGAGGGAAACAACCCAGACCGCCAGCUAAGGUCCCAAAGUCAUGGUUAAGUGGGAAACGAUGUGGGAAGGCCCAGACAGCCAGGAUGUUGGCUUAGAAGCAGCCAUCAUUUAAAGAAAGCGUAAUAGCUCACUGGUCGAGUCGGCCUGCGCGGAAGAUGUAACGGGGCUAAACCAUGCACCGAAGCUGCGGCAGCGACACUGUGUGUUGUUGGGUAGGGGAGCGUUCUGUAAGCCUGUGAAGGUGUGUCGUGAGGCAUGCUGGAGGUAUCAGAAGUGCGAAUGCUGACAUAAGUAACGAUAAAGCGGGUGAAAAGCCCGCUCGCCGGAAGACCAAGGGUUCCUGUCCAACGUUAAUCGGGGCAGGGUGAGUCGACCCCUAAGGCGAGGCCGAAAGGCGUAGUCGAUGGGAAACGGGUUAAUAUUCCCGUACUUGGUGUUACUGCGAAGGGGGGACGGAGAAGGCUAUGUUGGCCGGGCGACGGUU
rnacentral:rRNA from 1 species